UUAAAUUAACAUUAAGUUUCUUUGUGUAAAAAAAAAUUCUUUGUACAUAAUAAUAAAAAAAGAUAAGGCAGGGUGCUCAGCCUGUCAGAAGAAGUGUCAAAGACCAUCAGCAGCCUCUGUCCUUCAGGGCUCAGACAGGGUGUCACCAUGGCAAAGGCUUGGGAUGCUCAGCUCGGAGAAGCAGCGAAGGCUCCUUCCGUGGCAGCCACUCACUGGUGGCUCUUAGAGGAUGUAGAGGAGGAGGUCAGGAGGCCUCUGCCUACUUCCCAGUUCUAAUUUAGAACAUGUCAUUGUGCCUUAAGAAAAGAUGAGCCUACCCACCACAAUGGUCUUCAUGUCCUCAUAUGGCUCGGCAGACCGUCUCAGAAUGUUGUCCAUCCGUCCGAUGGCACUGUACUGGGCUUCCAUAUUGAGGCCCAGCUUCUCCCUGAGCCGUCUGCAGAGAGGUCUGGAUAUCACCGGAGACAACUGAGAAAGCUGUAUGGAACCAAAACAAAAGUUCACUUUUUUUAAAUGUGUGCAUUUGUCUGCAUGUACAUAUAUGUAUGUGCAUUGUAUAUGUGUGGAUGCUGGGAGCUAAAUCUGAGUCGGAUGAAAAAACCCAAUAUGCUCUCAACCUCUGUGGUAUCUCUCUAGCUCCUCCCUUAUUUAAACUACUCACAGGGGAUAAAGAAACUGUUUUCCUAUCGGAUGGAUUCCUCGCCAUGUCAUACUGUUAAUACCUUUGAAGAAAAUUAAAUAUCAGUAGCAGAGGAGGAAUAUCGC